rnacentral:rRNA from 1 species
UGGGGAAUUUUGGACAAUGGGCGCAAGCCUGAUCCAGCAAUGCCGCGUGCAGGAUGAAGGCCUUCGGGUUGUAAACUGCUUUUGUACGGAACGAAAAGGCUCUGGCUAAUACCUGGGGCUGAUUACGGUACCGUAAGAAUAAGCACCGGCUAACUACGUGCCAGCAGCCGCGGUAAUACGUAGGGUGCGAGCGUUAAUCGGAAUUACUGGGCGUAAAGCGUGCGCAGGCGGUUUUGUAAGACAGGUGGG